rnacentral:rRNA from 1 species
AGUGAACGCUGGCGGUAGGCCUAACACAUGCAAGUCGAACGAGUGGCGGACGGGUGAGGAAUACCUCGGAAUCUACUCUGUCGGGGGGGAUCACGUAGGGAAACUUACGCUAAUACCGCAUACGAUUGGAUGACCCGAUGUCGGAUUAGCUAGUGGGCGGGGUAAAGGCUCACCAAGGCGACGAUCCGUAGCUGGUCUGAGAGGAUGAUCAGCCACACUGGAACUGAGACACGGUCCAGACUCCUACGGGAGGCAGCAGUGGGGAAUAUUGGACAAUGGGCGCAAGCCUGAUGCAGCCAUGCCGCGUGGGUGAAGAAGGCCUUCGGGUUGUAAAGCACUUUUGUUGGGGAAGCGUUACCCAAAGAAUAAGCACCGGCUAACUUCGUGCCAGCAGCCGCGGUAAUAC